AUGGGCGCAAGCCUGAUGCAGCCAUGCCGCGUGUGUGAAGAAGGCCUUCGGGUUGUAAAGCACUUUCAGCAGUGAGGAAGGCGGGUACGUUAAUAGCGUGCUCGUUUGACGUUAGCUGCAGAAGAAGCACCGGCUAACUCCGUGCCAGCAGCCGCGGUAAUACGGAGGGUGCGAGCGUUAAUCGGAAUUACUGGGCGUAAAGCGCAUGCAGGUGGUUCGUUAAGUCAGAUGUGAAAGCCCGGGGCUCAACCUCGGAACUGCAUUUGAAACUGGCGGACUAUAGUACUGUAGAGGGGGGUAGAAUUUCAGGUGUAGCGGUGAAAUGCGUAGAGAUCUGAAGGAAUACCGGUGGCGAAGGCGGCCCCCUGGACAGACACUG
rnacentral:rRNA from 1 species